GAGCCGGGGCGCGCUCCACCUCGUUGCACGCGGGCCCAGCGCACAGCUCCCGGGCAAGCGGACUGCGCGAGCUGACGUUAUAGAACCGCGUGGCUUCGAACGCUGCGGGACGAGGCAGGGGAGGAGUGACCAACUGAUGGGGUGACAAGAUGGUUGCAGGAACCACACUGGGCCAUGACAGCUCCGCCCUCACCAACACGGCUGCUGCAGAAGCCUCCACCCCUGCGCCCAGUCCCACCCCAGUGACAGUAGUACCUCAUCAAAGUAGAAGAGGACUCUGCGUCCAGCCACCUCGUACCUCUUCAGCGUGAAAUGCUUGUCAAAGAGCAGCUGGCGAGGAAGCCAGAGCCUCCCUCCAUCUGGCCCUAGCCCUAGGCUAGGCCUCCCUGUGACAUCCGAGGUGCCCAGCUGAGCCCUGCCACCUGCUUUUACCUCACCUGCAACAUUCAACUGCCAUCAGCCUGGGACUUCAUAGUUUUGGAAACAUAAACCCACGGCCUCU